GAUGAACGCUGGCGGCGUGCCUAAUACAUGCAAGUCGAGCGAACUGAUUAGAAGCUUGCUUCUAUGACGUUAGCGGCGGACGGGUGAGUAACACGUGGGCAACCUGCCUGUAAGACUGGGAUAACUUCGGGAAACCGAAGCUAAUACCGGAUAGGAUCUUCUCCUUCAUGGGAGAUGAUUGAAAGAUGGUUUCGGCUAUCACUUACAGAUGGGCCCGCGGUGCAUUAGCUAGUUGGUGAGGUAACGGCUCACCAAGGCAACGAUGCAUAGCCGACCUGAGAGGGGGAUCGGCCACACUGGGACUGAGGUACGGCCCAGACUCCUACGGGAGGCAGCAGUAGGGAAUCUUCCGCAAUGGACGAAAGUCUGACGGAGCAACGCCGCGUGAGUGAUGAAGGCUUUCGGGUCGUAAAACUCUGUUGUUAGGGAAGAACAAGUACGAGAGUAACUGCUCGUACCUUGACGGUACCUAACCAGAAAGCCACGGCUAACUACGUGCCAGCCGCCGCCGUAAGAC
rnacentral:rRNA from 1 species